AUUGCACGCUAGCGGGAUGCCUUACACAUGCAAGUCGAACGAGUGGCGGACGGGUGAGUAAUGUCUGGGAAACUGCCCGAUGGAGGGGGAUAACUACUGGAAACGGUCGCUAAUACCGCAUACCAUCGGAUGUGCCCAGAUGGGAUUAGCUAGUAGGUGGGGUAACGGCUCACCUAGGCGACGAUCCCUAGCUGGUCUGAGUGGAUGACCAGCCACACUGGACCUGAGCCACGGUCCAGACUCCGACUGUAGGCAGCAGUGGGGAAUAUUUCACAAUGGGCGCAAGCCUGAUGCAGCCAUGCCGCGUGUAUGAAGAAGGCCUUCGGGUUGUAAAGUACUUUCAGCGAGGAGGCGUUACUCGCAGAAGAAGCACCGGCUAACUCCGUGCCAGCAGCCGCGGUAAUAC
rnacentral:rRNA from 1 species